AACUUUUAACAAUGGAUCUCUUGGUUCUCGCAUCGAUGAAGAACGUAGCAAAGUGCGAUAACUAGUGUGAAUUGCAUAUUCAGUGAAUCAUCGAGUCUUUGAACGCAACUUGCACUCGUUGGUAUUCCAACGAGUACGCCUGUUUCAGUA
rnacentral:rRNA from 1 species